rnacentral:rRNA from 1 species
UGGGGAAUCUUGCGCAAUGCGCGAAAGCGUGACGCAGCAACGCCGCGUGGGGGAAGAAGGCCUUCGGGUUGUAAACCCCUUUCAGUUGGGACGAAGCUUCGCCGGUGAAUAGCCGGCCGGAGUGACGGUACCUUCAGAAGAAGCCCCGGCUAACUACGUGCCAGCAGCCGCGGUAAUACGUAGGGGGCUAGCGUUGUCCGGAAUCAUUGGGCGUAAAGCGCGUGUAGGCGGCCCGGUAAGUCCGCUGUGAAAGUCGGGGGCUCAACCCUCGAAAGCCGGUGGAUACUGUCGGGCUCGAGUGCGGAAGAGGCGAGUGGAAUUCCUGGUGUAGCGGUGAAAUGCGCAGAUAUCAGGAGGAACACCGAUUGCGAAGGCAGCUCGCUGGGACGUUACUGACGCUGAGACGCGAAAGCGUGGGGAGCAAACAGG